UGAACAACCUGCCCGAGCGAGGGGGAUAGCCGGCCCAACGGCCGGGUAAUACCGCAUAUGCUCACAGUGCCUUAUGGCGCAGUGAGGAAACCUUCGGGGCGCUCGGGAGGGGUUCGCGACCUAUCAGCUAGUUGGUGGGGUAAUGGCCUACCAAGGCAACGACGGGUAGCUGGUCUGAGAGGAUGGCCAGCCACAGUUGGGACUGAGACACGGCCCAGACCUCCGUACGGGAGCAGC
rnacentral:rRNA from 1 species